rnacentral:rRNA from 1 species
UGCAUAGGAAAUUGCCUUGAAGUGGGGGAUAGCCCGGAGAAAUCCGGAUUAAUACCGCAUAUGCUCUACGGAGCAAAGUGGGCCUCUGAUUUAAGCUCAUGCUUUGAGAUAUGCCUAUGUCGGAUUAGCUAGUUGGUGGGGUAAAAGCCUACCAAGGCGACGAUCCGUAGCUGGUUUGAGAGGAUGAUCAGCCACACUGGGACUGAGACACGGCCCAG